rnacentral:rRNA from 1 species
GACGAACGCUGGCGGCGUGCUUAACACAUGCAAGUCGAACGGUAAGGCCCUUCGGGGUACACGAGUGGCGAACGGGUGAGUAACACGUGGGUGAUCUGCCCUGCACUUCGGGAUAAGCCUGGGAAACUGGGUCUAAUACCGGAUAGGACGCCGGACUGCAUGGUCUGGGGUGGAAAGCUUUUGCGGUGUGGGAUGGGCCCGCGGCCUAUCAGCUUGUUGGGGGGGUGAUGGGCUACUAAGGCGACGACGGGUAGCCGGGCUGGGAGGGUGACCGGCCACACUGGGACUGAGAUACGGCCCAGACUCCUACGGGAGGCAGCAGUGGGGAAUAUUGCACAAGGGGCGCAAGCCUGAUGCAGCGACGCCGCGUGAGGGAUGGCGGCCUUCGGGUUGUAAACCUCUUUCAGCAUCGACGAAGCGAAACUGACGGUAGGUGCAGAAGAAGGACCGGCCAACUACGUGCCAGCAGCCGCCGUAA